UAUUGCACUUGAGACGGCCGAAA
rnacentral:miRNA from 1 species